UCGUUGACUAUUGAGACUAUUGCUUUCAUGAUUCCUUCAUUGUGUGAAAUCGUUCAUUGAAAAUUGCAGUCGUUUGGAACUCGAGGCUCGUCGAUUAUUAAAGAUUUAAAAUCCGUCGGAUUUUAACGAAGAAGUAAUUUCGAUUUUGCAAAUGUU